AGGGUUUCUUGGAGAGUGGAGAGUCUCACUGUCUUUCCUCACUUUUUGAACCUCCCCAUUGACCUAGCCCCUUGCUCUUCUUUGUCUCUUCCAUCUUCCCUCGUUGCCAUCGACCUCCACCCUUACAUGCUUAUCUAUCCCUUGAACCCACCUACGUCUUAAGCCCUAACUUUCAUUCCCCUUUCUCAUACGGCGACCCUUCCCCUAUGUUCUCUAUUUGAAACCCCUAGGUUUUGUUUGCUUGCAGUGACAUCCUGCUAGAUCUCGCUGAAGCGCUAAAGCUAACUUGCUUCUCAUACUGAGAGUAUUGGGGUUUCCAUUGCGGUGUCGACCAAAGGAUCCAAUAGCAUGGGUUGGGGCGUUUGGUGGUUGUAGGAUGAUGAAGGUAGCGACACUGUGUUUCUCCGAUGAAGAGCCAGUGGGAAUCCCUAGUGUCACGCUUUUGAUUUUGCUUUUAUGGGCUUCUUCCAAGUUCAUUUCAACUUGGGUUUGAUCAAAGAGCAUAUAGAGUGUUUGUUUGCUGAGAUCUCCAGUUUUGUUUCUCAGUUUGCUAGAUUAUUUUGUCCUUUGUUUGUUUGUUUCCUAGGGUUGGUUUUCUUUAGAUCUUUCCUUAGAUCUAUU